rnacentral:rRNA from 1 species
GACGAACGCUGGCGGCGUGCUUAACACAUGCAAGUCGAACGGAAAGGCCCUGCUUUUGUGGGGUGCUCGAGUGGCGAACGGGUGAGUAACACGUGAGUAACCUGCCCUUGACUUUGGGAUAACUUCAGGAAACUGGGGCUAAUACCGGAUAGGAGCUCCUGCUGCAUGGUGGGGGUUGGAAAGUUUCGGCGGUUGGGGAUGGACUCGCGGCUUAUCAGCUUGUUGGUGGGGUAGUGGCUUACCAAGGCUUUGACGGGUAGCCGGCCUGAGAGGGUGACCGGCCACACUGGGACUGAGAUACGGCCCAGACUCCUACGGGAGGCAGCAGUGGGGAAUAUUGCACAAUGGGCGGAAGCCUGAUGCAGCAACGCCGCGUGCGGGAUGACGGCCUUCGGGUUGUAUACCGCUUUCGCCUGUGACGAAGCGUGAGUGACGGUAAUGGGUAAAGAAGCACCGGCUAACUACGUG